CACGGGUGAGUAACACGUAUCCAACCUGCCGUCUACUCUUGGACAGCCUUCUGAAAGGAAGAUUAAUACAAGAUGGCAUCAUGAGUCCGCAUGUUCACAUGAUUAAAGGUAUUCCGGUAGACGAUGGGGAUGCGUUCCAUUAGAUAGUAGGCGGGGUAACGGCCCACCUAGUCUUCGAUGGAUAGGGGUUCUGAGAGGAAGGUCCCCCGCAUUGGAACUGAGACACGGUCCAA
rnacentral:rRNA from 1 species